GACGAACCGUGCAAACGUUGUUCGGAAUCACUGGGCUUAAAGGGCGCGUAGGCGGGAGGGCAAGUCUGUGGUGAAAUCCCCCAGCUCAACUGGGGAACUGCCGUGGAUACUGCCUUUCUCGAGGGGUGUAGGGGCAUGCGGAACUUCCGGUGGAGCGGUGAAAUGCGUAGAUAUCGGAAGGAACGCCGGUGGCGAAAGCGGCGUGCUGGACACCUACUGACGCUGAGGCGCGAAAGCCAGGGGAGCGAACGGG
rnacentral:rRNA from 1 species